rnacentral:rRNA from 1 species
GAUGAACGCUAGCUACAGGCUUAACACAUGCAAGUCGAGGGACCGGCGCACGGGUGAGUAACACGUAUCCAACCUGCCCUUUACUCGGAGAUAGCCUUUCGAAAGAAAGAUUAAUACCCGAUAUAAAGGAUGGGGAUGCGUUCCAUUAGGUUGUUGGUGAGGUAACGGCCCACCAAGCCUUCGAUGGAUAGGGGUUCUGAGAGGAAGGUCCCCCACAUUGGAACUGAGACACGGACCAAACUCCUACGGGAGGGAGCAGUGAGGAAUAUUGGUCGCUGGGCGGUAGCCUGAACCAGCCAAGUAGCGUGAAGGAUGAAGGCUUAUGGGGCGUAAACUUCUUUUAUAGAAGAAUCUGUAUUAUAUGAAUAAGGACCGGCUAACUCCGUGCCAGCAGCCGCGGUAAUAC